rnacentral:rRNA from 1 species
GACGACGCUGGCGGCGUGGAUUAGGCAUGCAAGUCGGACGGUAGGGCUUUAUCGUAAGAUAGAGUUUGAGAGUGGCGAACGGGUGAGUAACACGUGAGCAACCUGCCCCAGACUCUGGGAUAACAGUUGGAAACAGCUGCUAAUACCGGAUACGAGACGGAGAGGCAUCUCUACCGUCUGGAAAGUUUUUCGGUCUGGGAUGGACUCGCGGCCUAUCAGCUAGUUGGUGAGGUAAUGGCUCACCAAGGCGACGACGGGUAGCCGGCCUGAGAGGGCGACCGGCCACACUGGGACUGAGACACGGCCCAGACUCCUACGGGAGGCAGCAGUGGGGAAUAUUGCACAAUGGGCGAAAGCCUGAUGCAGCGACGCCGCGUGAGGGAUGACGGCCUUCGGGUUGUAAACCUCUUUCAGCAGGGAAGAAGCGAAAGUGACGGUACCUGCAGAAGAAGCACCGGCUAACUACGUG